UGUCUAUCCGGAGGUCAGUGUGUACCGAACGACCACUGGUGCGACCACUUUCCUGACUGCCCGGACUUCUCAGACGAGCUCAACUGUGAAAAUGCACCCUGCAGGAAGAAUCAGUUCCUCUGCGAUUCGGGUCAGUGUGUGAACGAAUCCCUACACUGCUUCGUUCCCGGUCAUCCGAGAGCUGGGUGCGCUGACUCGUCUAACUUGCUGCACUGUCAUGACUGGGAAUGUGCUGAAGGCCAGUUCAAGUGCAGGAACGGACCCUGUCUGAACAUCUCACUCCUAUGUGACGGUCACAUCGACUGCCAAGGGUCCUGGGAAGAUGAGGAUAAACUGCUGUAUGUCCUG